CUGGUCUCUCAGAAGCAGGGAGAGAGCACCAUACAUCUUGCAGCAUGUCCUUACCAGCUCGGAAAGCUUUGCCCUUGCAUUACUGCCAGUAAACUGUUCCUAACAUUUGUUACGCUUUAUAUUAAUGGAUGCUACAUUUUCCCAUUUCAUACCCUACCAAACAGCAUGAUGGGAUGACAGCAUCAAACAGGUAGUAGGCAGAAGUGAUGCAUGAAAACUACCCUUAGCUGGAGAGCCAUACUGUUUUUUCCGCUUUCUUACAGUGGCUGUUGGUUGUUCUUAAUCACCUGCCUCACGCAGGCAGGCACUGGCUGGGGAGCUAAGGGAAGGGCUGAGUCCAAAACACAUGGUAACUAAGCAGCAGGACUUGAGACGCUGUCUGGAAAAACAACAGAGACUCACCUCCUACUAUUUUUCUUCCAGGGAAGCAGCUCCCAUUGCGCCAUUUUCCUGGCAGAAGAAGUUAUGAUCUUCAGGAAAAAGCUUCUUUCAGAAUGAAAGCUAGAAUGAAAGAGAGGGACAGGGAGAUAUCAGGAGAAGUGUCCUCGUAUUGCCACGCGCUCACUACAAAUCCUCAUUCCAUCAGCUGUACUCCCAGGUAAUGGUGUCAUGUCAGUAGUGGUGGGAGCAGGCAAGUUUCUGUAAACUAGUUUUUCAGGAAAGGCACAAAUGAGUCCUGAGGUAGAUGUGGUCAAGGCAGAAUGGGGUAGCUGGGGAGGUGAAUGACCAGAGGUGAUACCCUGCCAUGCAGUGGGAGGAGAGGGAGACAAGUGGGAAGGUGGUAGUGUCCUGUACCGACUCCUCACUUCUUGAGGUGUGUUACCUAAUAUUCAUUUCUGCUGUCAACAUUUCAUGAGUUUAAUAUGUUUAAUGUACAAAUCUUGAACUAAGAGUCUUGAGCACUGCAUUUCAGCAGGCAUAGUUCAAAGUGUACACUGUCAGUGCAGAUGUUCCCUGGUUUGGCAAUGGCUGCACUAGAUUGUCUCCUGCUGCUCUGCACAAGUAUUUCAGAGCUUGAUCUAGGAGCGUCCUUGGGAGGAAAUGUGGUGCAGUCUCAACUGUGAAAGGGGCACUGCCAGCCUCUGCAUGUUGGUUUGAGGCAGCAAAACUGUUCUGUGUGUCCUUUAAUUGUUAUUGCUCUCACUGAACUAUCCAGCUGUUUUUACUCCUCGGCCUGACUGAAGGCAGGAAUCCCUUCUGCGCAGGGGAGUAUACAGAAAGACAUGAAGAUGGUUUCUUAAAUGUUGAUACAAAAAAAAGAGAAAGAUCCAGUUUUGCAUCAAAUAUCUCAUCAUUCCCUGUAUAAAACCACUACAGAGGACUCAAACCCAAAGGUCUCCCAACGUGCUCUGAUCCCACAGGCAGACAAGGACUCACUCACCACUUAACAUGUUGAAUAAGUCUGCAUCUGCAACUUGGGGAGAAGUGGCAGCUCCUGGCUAGGUAUCAGACUGGUUUUCCACUGGAACUUGUAACUGUGCUUACCUGCAGCUGGAGGGAACUCACUGUGAGGGCUGAUUUCUGUAAACGGCAGCAGAAGUUGCUAUCAUACAGAAGCAUGAGAUCCAGGAGAAGCCAGGCCUCAGAGGAGGUUAAGAAUAGUACUCUGGCAUCCAAAUGUAAGGAGCAUGAAAUCACUGCCAUCAGAAAAGAACAACACAAGAAAGGCUUUAUUCUAUCAGCCUGCACUACAAAGGGAGAAAUAAAUCCUGAGACAGCAUCAAAUGCACCUUCAGAAAGUGAAGGUAAUACAGUGCUGCACAAAUGUGCUGUGUUGUAACGUUUGGCCAAAAAAAAGGAAAAAAGUGCUUUCUGUUAAGAAUACACCAUUGGCUGGAUAGGCCAAUGUGCUCCAGCUUAUAACUUGAUAUACUGCAGUUCUUUGCAAAGCACUAGUUUAGGACAUGAUGAAAUAGCUUUGCAGCUGAAGCAAGAGGUACAAACACUUGAGAAGAACAAAGCCGGUGAAACUGGGCAAUGUUUCAAGUCAUUUAGCAAAGCAUUUUUAGUCUCCUCUUUCAAGGUGAGUGAUAGAGUCAUAACACAUUGCACCAGUAGAGAAGAUUUGCAUCUAAAGCAUUUCAUUCUGCGAGUAUCAGUGAUUGCAAGUGCUGAACCUAGUGUUGGGAAGAAGCCUGUUACAGUUCUCCAGGUAAUACUCACCUCUUUAAAAAGAAAUCAAUAUUAAUUUUUAAAAGCAGACUUACCUUUCCAUGUGUGUUCCUAAGCACUGCAUUCUCCUUUCUUUGUGUUUAUCUCCUGCUGCGCAAAAUGAUGCUGACCAGUCACCCAUCACAGUCAGCUUCUCACUUUCAUCCAACAUUUGUGAGGAACAAGGUUUGAUUUUCCAGCUUUCUAACCCAAAGUCUGAAGAAGUUCAUCAGAAUCUGCCUUAUGUGUGGACCCUGGUGAGACCUGAGCAAGUUCAAAAACAAAUGUCAAACUUCAUUCUUAAUCAAGAGAAGCCUUGCCUGAGGAUUCCACUUAGCAAGAACUAAUCGAAGUUAUAUUUUUUUUCCUCCCUCAUGUAAACAGAAAAGAGCAAGCAUUUAACCUGAAAGAAGUUGGGUUUGACAAACCAAUUAUUCUACAGCAUUAUGGUGAUUACAGAGGAGAAACUUUCCCCAGGACAUGGAAGGUUCAGGCUGGCAGGACUGUCACAUCAAAGCUGCCAUAUGACAAACCUCAGAUUCCAGUGGUCAAGAGAGCAAACACAGCACAGAGAAAACUGCACUACAGACUGAAUGAUGGCUCAUCCUUCAUUUAUCUCAUUUUAGCUAUCCAUCUGAAUAUCUUGCG
ensembl:lncRNA